UACGUAGGGUGCAAGCGUUGUCCGGAAUUAUUGGGCGUAAAGCGCGUGUAGGCGGCUUUGCAAGUCGGGUGUGAAAGCCCUCAGCUUAACUGAGGAAGUGCGCCCGAAACUGCAGAGCUUGAGUACUGGAGAGGAUGGCGGAAUUCCCCAAGUAGAGGUGAAAUUCGUAGAUAUGGGGAAGGAACACCGGUGGCGAAGGCGGCCACCUGGACGGUAACUGACGCUGAGACGCGAAGCGUGGGAGCAAAGCAGGAUAGAUACCCGAG
rnacentral:rRNA from 1 species